AAUAUAUGCACCUGGCUUCAUUCUGUCUUCUCCUGACUUCUCCUUUCCACAGUGGAUGCAUUUAGUUGCAUGCUGCAUUUUGCUGAUCCUGUUUGCCCUGCUGCAAAGAGCACUGCAAGAUAUUUCAGCAGUAGCAGCUGUCUGAAAAGGAGUCAUCAAAAGUGCCACUGAGGUGGAAGUGAGCUUUCCAUGUCUCAUAUUCAGAAGAAGAAAGAAAUGCUUUGAUAUUCCACAAUUUCAGUUAAGAUAACCCUGAAACAGACACGGCACGUGAGAAUAAAAGGUUCACCAUCUAUUAGCCCAGUGGAAAUCAGGGGGUGACCUUUUGUCAGGUCAGAGCUUUUGGCUGCGGAGGUUUGGGAACUUUCACAGGUACAUUCUAACCUGUGACCUUACUCUGUGUUCCAGCCACUUGUUCCCUGCUGCUGUCUUAAUCAAAACCAGUAGUGGAUGGUAACUUCCUAGAAGAAGUAGGGGAUUGGUCCUACAUAAUUUAUGCAACAAAUGCAAUGCAUUUAAAGGGGUUAACUGAAGUCUGUGGCAUUGUUUGUGUACCUUGGAUUUGAGGGGUUCUAGCCCUAAGGCAAUGCGUAGGCUUUGGCUACUUCUGGCCUAUGUGA
rnacentral:lncRNA from 1 species